rnacentral:ncRNA from 1 species
UGGAAACGGUUGCUAAUACCCCGUAGGCUGAGGAGCAAAAGGAGAAAUCCGCCCAAGGAGGGGCUCGCGUCUGAUUAGCUAGUUGGUGAGGCAAUAGCUUACCAAGGCGAUGAUCAGUAGCUGGUCCGAGAGGAUGAUCAGCCACACUGGGACUGAGACAAGGCCCAGACUCCUACGGGAGGCAGCAGUGGGGAAUUUUCCGCAAUGGGCGAAAGCCUGACGGAGCAAUGCCGCGUGGAGGUGGAAGGCCUACGGGUCGUCAACUUCUUUUCUCGGAGAAGAAACAAUGACGGUAUCUGAGGAAUAAGCAUC